GUCUGCGUCACCGCUUAGCGCUCCCAUAGGAAGUUUGGCUCCUCUCCCCUGCCGUAGCGGCUGCUCCGGGGGUCACUCCCGCCUUCCUCCGCCUCCUCCUGCCCAGGGCGGGAACUGCGAACUGUCGCUGGCGGACGGCCCUCACCCCGGCCCAGGAUGCCUGAAAGUCAAGGGAAAGACAGCGAAAGUUGCAUCAGCAGCAAUAAUUCCAGCACUACCAACUCAGUUGCUUGCUUCGGACAGGUCAGUUCCUUUUGCCUGAGAGGGAAAUAGAAAUUUUAUGCUUGCACUUCCAGAAAUCUGGUCUGCAUGUUUACUCCUGUUAAAACUGGAGCCCUGUCCGUUAGCCUAGUGAUACUAUGCCUACUUGCACAGUACAUUUUUGGUGAUGAAUCUUCUUCUCCAUGAUAAGCAUUUAUACAGAGUUCCUGAAUAUUACAUAGUCAUGUGCACUCUUCCUUUAUCCCUUAUGGCUUUUGGUUACAGGACUGCAUUCUAGUGUCAGAAAAAGAGUUAUUUCUUUAAGUUUUAAUAGAACCAGAUACAAAUUAAAGAGUUUUGGCAAGCAUUGGAACAUAUAUGGCACAAGCUCUAUUCAGUUCUGUGUUCUGCUGAAUGAUAGGGCAGCCAAUACAUGCAUACACAAUACUUAUGAUUUAGGUGGUGAAAUCUCUAUUCUGUUUCACAUCAGAGUAUAGCAACACAAGCAUUUUCGUGCUUGAAUCUUUCAACAUGCAUUUAGGCUUCUCUAACCUUUACAGGUUGUCAAUUGUAUUUCUGCUUAGACAAGGAGCAAAAGUUACAACACUUUAUGCUUCCAAUGAUGCUGGUGUUAUCUGAUACCAGUGAUGCUGGACUUAUCCAAAGGACCUUCUCUGCCUGAGGAGAAUUUGCUGAAUGCUCCUCAAGAGAUUCCUGAGUUGACUGCUUGCCUGAGCUAUUUAUCCACCCUGCUGUGAAGGCAUAUGGUGGUAGAGUAAGGUUAAACUUGGGUUUGGUCGAAGUUUUAAAAUAAACUUCUCUUGUUAGUCACAGAGAGAUGAUUUAUUUCUGAGAGGUAAAACAUAAUCUUAAAUGCAUAUUCCUGGCAACAUUGACUAGGAUUAUGACUGCAUUAAGAUUUCGAUAGGAUACUAAUAGGCCUGGCUCAUCUCAGUUUUUCUAAUGUAAGUGGUGGUUAUGAGAAAUGAAAAAUAAUUGCUACAGCUCAAUAAUUAAUGCUUGUAUACAUAGACUUCCAAGAGU
rnacentral:lncRNA from 1 species